UACGUAGGGUGCGAGCGUUUGUCCGGAUUUAUUGGGCGUAAAGAGCUCGUAGGCGGUUUGUCGCGUCGGCCGUGAAAUCUCCACGCUUAACGUGGAGCGUGCGGUCGAUACGGGCAGACUUGAGUUCGGUAGGGGAGACUGGAAUUCCUGGUGUAGCGGUGAAAUGCGCAGAUAUCAGGAAGAACACCCGUGGCUAAGGCGGCUCUC
rnacentral:rRNA from 1 species